AUCUUCUGUUGGAGGUUCCUGUCUACUGAGGGUCUUCUACAGGCCAAAUAGGGUGAAAGAAACUGGAGUUACUAUUCUGACCCUGCCAGCCCAAUUUCUCUAGGGUGCCUGGAGGGAAACUAGCACACAGACAUCAAGAGAACAGCAAGGCCAAACGGAAGAGAGCUCAGGUGACCCUUCUUGGACUCUCCUGCUCCCCUCCUGCAACUGUAGUGAAGCUGAGGUGUGAAGCAGCAAGUAUUAAGUCUUGCUUUCACCUAGCCAGUGUAGGCAGUGCUACCCCAUUCACAAACAAUCAAAGUAGGUCCUCCAAAAUGGUCUCGUCCAUCUGUGCCCUCAAAGCUUCUCACCUUCACACCUCAAAAUAACCAACAUACUUUGACGUGUUGGAGCAUUGUGUCAAACAUCUGGAGGCCAGAAAGGGCCUGUUCAUCAUCUCACUAUGAUUGGUUCAGUCUAACCACAGUCUGAAUAAUUCUGUGCAGGAGGAAAAGUUUAGGACUGGGUUUCCUGGGCGGAGAUGCUAUGCUGACUGAAUAUCGAUUACCAGUGUCAUUACUGCUUCAGUCCUGUAGUUCUUCAUAAUGCCACUGCCAGAAUCAAGUACGUGAAAGUCAAGUGCAGGGGAAGAAGAUGAUGUGUCUGAAGGAGGUAUUCUCGAGCAAUGCAGAGCUUCAUCCACUGGUGAAAAGCAGAAAACAUACAAACAAAAUAAUGUUUUGCUGCCACUUUGCUGUACCGUUCAGUGCAGUUACAUGAAUAGACAACGUUUCCCAUGGAAGAUGCCAACUAAAGCAAUGAACUGGGAGUCUGUAUUGAGAAGACUUCCAGAGGGAGCUGCAAAUCAGCAGCAGCUGGAUUGGACUCAGAAGGAACGAUGAUUUUGAUGGGAUUAUAGCUGAAUUCGAUUAAAAUGUUUUCUUUGUUAAAUAUAUCUGUUAUUUUCCUAAAUACCAAGAGGUACACUGACUCCUACUAGUCCUAGAAGAUUUCAAAUAUGCUUUUUGCUCAGAUUUAGGGAGUGUAGGAAGUGUCAGGUAGUACAGACGCAAGGGAGUUUAAGUACUUCUGCUAGUAUAUUGCAACACGCGAGUCCAGCUGACAAACAUAACUUAUGUAUGAACUUUUAACCUGACAUUUUCCCUUUAGUUUCAACGGAUGGUAUCAAUUUUGAAUGUAUUACUACUGUAAGAUUUACGGACGCUUGCUGAAGGCCACUGACUUCCAAUCAAGAAUCUGACAAUAUGGUUGCUUAGAGGCUUCUUCGCAGUCCUUCUGUAUCUUGUUUCUUAAAAGCUUUCCAAGUACAUGGCAAAGGAAUGCAAUGAAACAAAUGUCACUUUGUUCUUGAAAACGUAUGGAAAAAGCUUUCAGAAUACAACAGAUGCUUGAAUUUUCUAAUAGAUUUAUCUGUAUUCUUGUUUGUUUUGUUGACUAAAAUGUAAAAGUGUUUUUUAAAAACAGAUGUUAAAAGUCAUAUAGAUGUACUUUAGUUCCAUGGAGGUAGGACACUUAAAAACUGUAGCAAACCUGAACUUGUUUUAGCUGCUAUUUUAUAUGUGAAUGCAAAACAUCCUCAGUGAAAUGGUGUGUGUAAAAAAAAAAAAAAAAAAAAAAAAAAAAA
ensembl:lncRNA